UACCAGCUCUCCGAGUGGUAGGGACGAUUAUUGGGCUUAAAGCGUUCGUAGCCGGCCUGGCAAGUCUCUCGUCAAAUCCAGCGACUCAAUCGCUGGGCCGCGGGAGAUACUGCUAGGCUUGGGAGCGGGAGAGGUCGACGGUAUUCCCGGGGUAGGAGUGAAAUCCUGUAAUCCCGGGAGGACCACCAGUGGCGAAGGCUGUCGACUAGAACGCGUCCGACGGUGAGGGACGAAAGCUGGGGGAGCGAACCGGAUUAGAUACCCGGGUAGUCCCAGCUGUAAACGAUGCGGGCUAGGUGUCGGUGUGGCUACGAGCCACUCCGGUGCCGCAGGGAAGCUCUUAAGCCCGCCGCCUGGGAAGUACGGUCGCAAGGCUGAAACUUAA
rnacentral:rRNA from 1 species